AGGGAAAGAGGGCUGGGAAGGGAGGGGCCAGAAGUGAGAGACGCUCUAUUCUGGGCUCAGACCAAAGGCAGCGAGGCUCACUUGUGAGAAUGGGGCCCAGCUGCUCGUUAGCUGUCUGGAGCAUCCCGGGCCUGCCUGGAUGGGCAGGAGGUGGCCCUUGCUCGGGGAAAGGCCUCAGCAGGAUACCAGUGUGGCUGCUCCUGCCUUGGGAAGCCUGCUGUUUGGGGCACCAGGCCUGACCUGAAAAUGCGGUCCCAAUGUGACGGCCUAGAAGGCUCUGGCAUCCUGUGAGCUGAUGUGUGAGGACAGGG
rnacentral:lncRNA from 1 species